CACAAGACUGAAUCUGGAUCACCAUCUAGUGGCAGACGGGUGAGUAACACGUGGGUGACCUACCUUUUCGUUGGGGAUAACAGUUGGAGACGAUUGCUAAUACCGAAUAAAAUAUAAGAGCCAAUUUUAUAUUGAAAGGAGCCUUUAAAGCUUCGCGAUUAGAUGGGCCUGCGGCGUAUUAACUUGUUGGUGAGGUAACGGCUCACCAAGGUAACGAUGCGUAGCCGAACUGAGAGGUUGAUCGGCCACACUGGUACUGAGACACGGACCAAACUCC
rnacentral:rRNA from 1 species